rnacentral:rRNA from 1 species
AUUGAACGCUGGCGGCAUGCCUUACACAUGCAAGUCGAACGGUAACGGGCCUUCGGGUGCCGACGAGUGGCGAACGGGUGAGUAAUACAUCGGAACGUGCCCGAUCGUGGGGGAUAACGAGGCGAAAGCUUUGCUAAUACCGCAUACGAUCUACGGAUGAAAGCCGGGGACCGCAAGGCCUUGCGCGGACGGAGCGGCCGGUGGCAGGUUAGGUAGUUGGUGGGAUAAAAGCUUACCAAGCCGACGAUCUGUAGCUGGGCUGAGAGGAUGAUCAGCCACACUGGGACUGAGACACGGCGCAGACUCCUACGGGAGGCAGCAGUGGGGAAUUUUGGACAAUGGGCGCAAGCCUGAUCCAGCCAUGCCGCGUGCAGGAUGAAGGCCUUCGGGUUGUAAACUGCUUUUGUACGGAACGAAAAGCCUUCUUUUAAUACAGGAGGGUCAUGACGGUACCGUAAGAAUAAGCACCGGCUAACUACGUG